rnacentral:rRNA from 1 species
GAUGAACGCUGGCGGCGUGCCUAAUACAUGCAAGUCGAGCGAACAGAUGAGGAGCUUGCUCCUCUGACGUUAGCGGCGGACGGGUGAGUAACACGUGGAUAACCUACCUAUAAGACUGGGAUAACUUCGGGAAACCGGAGCUAAUACCGGAUAAUAUAUUGAACCGCAUGGUUCAAUAGUGAAAGACGGUUUUGCUGUCACUUAUAGAUGGAUCCGCGCCGCAUUAGCUAGUUGGUAAGGUAACGGCUUACCAAGGCAACGAUGCGUAGCCGACCUGAGAGGGUGAUCGGCCACUGGAACUGAGACACGGUCCAGACUCCUACGGGAGGCAGCAGUAGGGAAUCUUCCGCAAUGGGCGAAAGCCUGACGGAGCAACGCCGCGUGAGUGAUGAAGGUCUUCGGAUCGUAAAACUCUGUUAUUAGGGAAGAACAAAUGUGUAAGUAACUAUGCACGUCUUGACGGUACCUAAUCAGAAAGCCACGGCUAACUACGUG